CAUAUGUUAUUAGUAAGGAAGAAUAUGUUUAUCAAAUCAUGGGCAGAGCCAUAAAUGGUGAAAAUGUGCUAUUGGAGAAGUACUAUUUAGUCAGUUAUUCAUCAAAAUUACUAAUAAAUAAUACAUUUUUCUCUGACAUCAGAGUAAUUUCUAAAGCAGUGGAAUAUUUUAGGUUUUUAACACAGGUCAGCAAGGCACUUCUUGCAGAGUUUAUGACAGCUCAAAAGAGAAGCAAACCAUUUAAAGCUUUGGGAUCAGAACAUAUGAAUAAACCUUCCCCUGUCUUUCCAUCUAACCUUACAAGUUCUACUCUCCAAAGUCUCGAAUUUCAGCUACGUUGAGGACCUUGUAUUCAUUGAUUUGCUUGGAAGAGGAUGUGGCAUUCCUUUGAUACGGGUACUUAUCAACAUAUAAUGUUGCUGCCAUUAGGAAAGAAGUAAGCAGCCUCUGCAGGGAGCUACUACCUCGUGCACUAGCCUUGGUCAGUUCUCAGCUUUCAAAUAUUUAUGUUUAUCACAAACUCUUCAUACUUUUGAUACUAAAGACAAAUGCUCUUACUAUUCUAUUUUCGAAUGUAUCUAUUCAUUAUAUUUUUGCUCUUUACAAGUUCACAUUUCUCGCUUCUACUCAAAAUUUACAUUACAUCUUUUCAUGAGGCCCAAAUUUUUGGACCUUAUACAUGUGUUAUAAAUCAACUUCACUUGACCCUAAAUCUAAUUUAAGUUAAGCACUCUCUCUC